GAUUAUUAGAUUUUUAUUGUUGCGAAUUUAAUGGAAGAAUUUAUAGGUUUAAGUAUUAGUUUAGGAAAAAUGGUUUUAAUUAUAGAUAAUAAGUAUAGUGAUAGGAAGAUGGAGUGAUUGUAAAGAAUACUUUAUUUGUGGUACCUUUUGUAUCAGGGUUUAUUAAAUAUAGGUUUUGAAUAAAAAUUUCUCGAAUUUAGGAGGGCUAGGGGAGUAUGUAUUUUACUGUGAAAUAAUUAUUUUUAAUACUUUUCUUGUAAUGAAAUAUUAGUCGUUCUUUAAUAUAUCUAGUUUCUCUAGAAAUUAAUUUAAUUAAGCUAACUUGUAAUUGAUUUUUUAUAUUAAAUUAAUUUAGAGGUUGAGUAAUAUUCAAGGGGAUAAGCUUUUGAGUAAAUUAUUAAAACGUGUUGUCUGUUUUAUUUGAAAUAGGAAUAGAAGUUUUCAUUUUUUAUAGUGAGUUGUAUCAAUAUUUAGAUUUAGGGGAUUUUUUUUUGGUUUAAGUUUUUUAUGGGGAUAGGAAAUUUAAUUUUAAAUUUUAUGGGAUAAUGAUUGAAUAAGUAUAUUUUUGUGUUGAUAUUGAUUUUGUGUGAUAGGUUGAAUUAAGGAAUUCGGCAAAUAUAUUUCCUGCCUGUUUAUUAAAAACAUGGCCUUUUGUGAAUAAUUUGAGGUCUGGCCUGCCCAAUGAUUUGUUUAAUGGCCGCGGUACUCUGACCGUGCAAAGGUAGCAUAAUCAUUAGUUUUUUAAUUGAAAGCUGGAAUGAACGGUUGGACAAGGAAAUAGCUGUCUUUAUUUAAAGUGUAGAAUUUUAUUUUUUAGUAAGAAGGCUGAAAUGGGUUUAAGGGACGAGAAGACCCUAUAGAAUUUUAUAAGUUAUUUGUAAAUUGAUUUUAGGAUUUUUUAAUUGGUUUAUUGGUAGCUUAUUUUGUUGGGGUGACGGAAAAAUUUAAGGAACUUUUUAGUUUUUAAUUUACUUAUAUGUAAAUUUUUGAUCCACGGGUUGUGAUUAUAAGAUUAAAUUACCUUAGGGAUAACAGCGUAAUUGAUUUGGAGAGUUCUUAUCGAUAAAUUAGUUUGCGACCUCGAUGUUGGAUUAAAAUGAACUUUUGGUGUAGGGGCUAUUAGGUUAAGUCUGUUCGACUUUUAAAAUUUUACAUGAUCUGAGUUUAAACCGGCGUGAGCCAGGUUGGUUUCUAUCUUUAGAAAAUUUUAAUAUUUUAGUACGAAAGGACCAAGUAUUAGUUUAAUAAAUUUGAUUUUGGAUAUGGUU
rnacentral:rRNA from 1 species